UUCUCACACAGACUGAAAGUGGUCUAAGAACUUAAAUAUUUUUAAUUUACCUAUUCAAACCAUAUCAUUAUUAUUUGCUUUUAUAUAUAAAUCAGAAAUAACCAAUUUAAAAUGGAAAAUUUUAAAGAAAAAAAAGGAAAAAAAAAUCCCCCCCAAUUUUUUGAACCCCCUUAUGAUUCAUCACCCCCAAACUCAAUCCAAGCUUUCCCUUUGUGGUAUGGUACCUUGCAGUACAAUUUCAGAGAGAUCCAUACACUUGAACACAAGUUAUUGUCUGGAAACUAGAAAAAUGCUUGUUUUUUGGCCCCUUUUUGGCCCCAAAUUCCUAAAUGUUUAGGGCAAUUACCCCCAAAUUCAAACCCAGCUUUCCCUUUUGUGAUAUGGAACCUUGCAGUACAAUUUCAUAAAGAUCCAUACACUUACACACAAGUUAUUGUCCUGAAACUAGAAAAAUGCUUGUUUUUUUGCCCUUUUAUGGCCCCUAAUUACUAAAAAUUUGAGGGAAUUACCCCCAAAAUCAAUCCCAGCCUUCUCUUUGUGGUAUGGUACCUUGCAGUACAAUUUCAGAGAGAUCCAUACAUUUAAACACAAGUUAUUGUUUGAAAACUAGAAAAAUGUUUAUUUUUGGCCCCUUUAUGGCCCCUUAUUCCUAAACUUUCUGGGCAAUUACCCCAAAACUCAAUUCCAGCUUUCCCUUUGUGAUAUGGAACCUUGUGGGACAUGUGGGACAAUGUCAGAGAGAUCCAUACACUUACACACAAGUUAUGUCUGGAAGUUACAAAAACGCUUAUUUUUGGCCCCUUAUUCCUUAACUGUGGGUACCAUAACCCCCAAAAUCAAUCCCCACCUUCCUUUUGUGGUAUUGAACCUUAUGGUAAAAUUUCAUUGAGAUCCAUUCACUAAAACUAAAUUAGAGUGCGAAAACUAAUGCGUAUUCGGACGACGACGCCGGACGACGACGACGACGCCAACGUCAUACCAAUAUACGACCACAAAAUUUUUUUUGCGGUCGUAUAAAAACAGGACCCAAAAUUAAUAAACUGCUUCGCUGAGCGCAGCUGGAUACG